rnacentral:rRNA from 1 species
UCCUGACCUCGGAUCAGACGUGAUUACCCGCUGAU